UACGGAGGGGGCUAGCGUUGUUCGGAAUUACUGGGCGUAAAGCGCACGUAGGCGGCUUUGCAAGUUAGAGGUGAAAGCCCGGGUCUCAACUCCGGAAUUGCCUUUAAAACUGCAUCGCUAGAAUUGUGGAGAGGUAAGUGGAAUUCCGAGUGUAGAGGUGAAAUUCGUAGAUAUUCGGAAGAACACCAGUGGCGAAGGCGACUUACUGGACACAUAUUGACGCUGAGGUGCGAAAGCGUGGGGAGCAAACAGG
rnacentral:rRNA from 1 species